rnacentral:rRNA from 1 species
UACAGAGGUCUCAAGCGUUGUUCGGAUUCAUUGGGCGUAAAGGGUGCGUAGGCGGCGCGGUAAGUCGGGUGUGAAAUUUCGAGGCUUAACUUCGAAACUGCAUUCGAUAGUGCCGUGCUUGAGGACUGGAGAGGAGACUGGAAUUUACGGUGUAGCGGUGAAAUGCGUAGAUAUCGUAAGGAAGACCAGUGGCGAAGGCGGGUCUCUGGACAGUUCCUGACGCUGAGGCACGAAGGCCAGGGGAGCAAACGGG